AACGUGUCCUGUUNUGGGGGAGUAACUGAUCGAAAGAUCAGCUAAUACCGCAUGAGACCUGAGGGUGAAAGCGGGGGAUCGCAAGACCUCGCGCGACAGGAGCGGCCGAUGUCUGAUUAGCUAGUUGGUGAGAUAAAAGCUUACCAAGGCGACGAUCAGUAGCUGGUCUGAGAGGAUGAUCAGCCACAUUGGGACUGAGACACGGCCCAGACUCCUACGGGAGGCAGCAUG
rnacentral:rRNA from 1 species